UGAGGUAAUUAGAUUGGUUCUCUCCA
rnacentral:piRNA from 1 species